AAGGAUUAAAAAAAUAUAGUUUAUAUACCAUAAAACAAACAAGCUGUUAUAAUUUUGGCUUGUGUUGUCAGUAGGAGCAGACCUCAGCGCUCCUACACACAGUCAAACCGCUGAACAACUGACAUCAACACUCACCGUGCUGCCGCCUCUCUGUUAACCUGUCACGUGAUGCAGAAUGAAAGUUGAAGCCUAGGUGUGUACAGCACUGCUGGUUUUGAAGUCAGACAGUCUCUCGGUGUGCACAGGACCAACCUCAGCGCUUUAACAUCCGCUUCCUGUACAGGAACAAUAACAGGAGUGUGGCUGCCCACGUCUCACAGCAGAGUGAGGAGGAAGGCUGUGAGAGCUGUGAGAGUAUCACUGACUAUGACUGUGAGAGUAUCACUGACGGGGCCAUGAAGACACGUCUGACCCACGUCCUGGUUUUUAUCCAGCUCCUUGAAGCCUAUGCAGAGUUGAGGCAUCUGACUGAGGGGCAGUCUCUGGGACUUUCCUGCUCGUCCCAGCAAAACCGCAGCAGCCCGGAGAGCCUCCACCUGUACCACCGUGACGCCCAGAACCAGACCACCCUCCUGUCCAUGGCUGAGGGCGACGAGGUCAGGGUGGACCCCGCACACAGGGGGCGACUGCAGAUCUUUGGAGGAUUGAACUCGCCAACGGUCAAUGUGACCAUCUCUCGCUUACAGCACAGUGACAGUGGACUUUACGUGUUUGAGCUGAGCUACAGAGAGGGGAAUGGCUCCGACCACAUCAUCAGUCCACGCAGGGUGUUCCUGUUGGUGGACGCGGCAGGGGGGUCAUGCCAGGUCAGUUACACCACUCUGCUCCUGACCAUCUUCGCAGCAGUGGGGCUCCUUGCACUGACCCUCAGCUGGAUGGCUGCACAGACAUGUGGGGAGGCGAGGCGUCGUCACAGACCACCUCCUCAUGCGCCUAUCUAUGAGGAAAUGAGCAGGAAGCAACAGAGCCCUGAGAGACCCCAAAAUAACCGCAAGGCCUCCACACAGCUGGAGGAAGUCCACUUCCCCGUGUACGCCAACCCCCAAAUCCGACAGCCACAGGACAACUACUACGCCUGUCCCAGACAGCUGGCCCUCAGAGCCUGAUGCAUGAUAUGACUUUAAACCAGACAAACAGGAAACAUACAGCAAAAACAAGACCUGUCUGCCGGAAGCUUUACUUUUAAAAUGUGGGUGUAAAUGUUAAGUAUGUAGUAGAAUAGCUGGCUGAGUGUGCACCUCACAAACCCACCCACUGAUAAAUGACAUACUGCAGCUCCUGUCACCACUCUGAAGCGUUCAGCCGGUUGGCUGUGAGGCAGUUUUUUGGGUGAAAACUACGAUUGUAAUAUUAAAAUUAUAUGGAUUUAUUUUCAGUUUCUUCCACACACUUCCAGGUAAAAGUAUCUCCAUUAUUUUGGAUUUCAUUCCAACACGUG
rnacentral:lncRNA from 1 species